AACGAACGCUGGCGGCAUGCCUAACACAUGCAAGUCGAACGAGACCUUCGGGUCUAGUGGCGCACGGGUGCGUAACGCGUGGGAACCUGCCCUUAGGUACGGAAUAACUCCCCGAAAGGGGUGCUAAUACCGGAUAAUGUCUUCGGACCAAAGAUUUAUCGCCUUUGGAUGGGCCCGCGUUGGAUUAGCUAGUUGGUAGGGUAAAAGCCUACCAAGGCGACGAUCCAUAGCUGGUCUGAGAGGAUGAUCAUCCACACUGGGACUGCGACACGGCCCAGACUCCUACGGGAGGCAGCAGUGGGGAAUAUUGGACGAUGGGCGAAAGCCUGAUCCAGCAAUGCCGCGUGAGUGAUGAAGGCCUUAGGGUUGUAAAGCUCUUUUACCCGGGAUGAUAAUGACAGUACCGGGAGAAUAAGCUCCGGCUAACUCCGUG
rnacentral:rRNA from 1 species